GCAUAACGCGAAGAACCUUACCCAGGUUUGACAUCCCGAGAAGGCUUCCGAAAGGAAACUGUGCUUUAUUGAACUCGGUGACAGGUGAUGCAUGGCCGUCGUCAGCUCGUGUCGUGAGAUGUAUGGUUAAGUCCAUUAACGAGCGCAACCCUUAUGUUUAGUUGGAUUUUUCUAAACAGACUGCCCUGGUAACAGGGAGGAAGGAGGGGAUGAUGUCAGGUCAGUAUUUCCCUUACAUCUGGGGCUACAAACACGCUACAAUGGCCGGUACAAAGGGCAGCCAACCCGCAAGGGGGAGCUAAUCCCAUCAAAGCCGGUCUCAGUUCGGAUUGCAGGCUGAAACUCGCCUGCAUGAAGCUGGAAUCGCUAGUAACGGUAAGUCAGCACAUUACCGUGAAUACGUUCCCGGGUCUUGUACACACCG
rnacentral:rRNA from 1 species